CUGGUGACUUGGGGUCAAGGGCCCGAGUUUGUUAGCUUAUUGGUGUACUACAGUACAUUCUUUAAAUUACUAAGCAAAUGGAAUUAAUGUGUAACCUAAGAACCAAAUAGAGGCAGGUGUUGGGCUGAGAGAAAAUUGGGCAACAGGACAGAAACAAAACAAUGCAUCUUAACAUUUACAAAACACUUUUAUCCUCCACUAAAUAGUUCCUUCUAAAUUGCCUUCACCAUCGUAACAAACCUGCAGGAAAGACAAACGGGCUAUUUAUCCCCAUUUCCAGAAUGAAUGAAUGAAUGAAAUAAAGGCAAUAUGAUCAGGAACCGGUGGAAUUCAGUGUUUUCACUCACAGAACGACUCCGCUUUUUUCUUUUUUCUUUUUCUUCUUGAGACAGAGUUUUGCUCUGCCGCCCAGUGCAGUGGCAUGAUCUCCUCUCAAUGCAACCUCCGCCUCCUGGAUUCAAGCGAUUCACCUGCCUCAGCCUCCUGAGUAGCUGGAACUAUAGGUGCGCACCACCAAUUCCCGGCUAAUUUCUGUAUUUUUAGUAGAGACAGGGUUUCACCAUGUUGGCCAGACUGGUCUUGAACUCCUGACUUCAAGUGAUCUGCCCACCUUGACCUCCCAAAGUGCUGGGAUUACAGGCAUGAGCCACUGCGCCUGGCCUUUUUUUUUUCUUUUUUUUUUUGGUCUAUGUUGAUAACUGGAUGAGAGAAGUUGGUUUAUUACAAGUGGAAGCUUUUCUUCAAUCAUAGGAAGCUGAUGGACACUGUAAGAUCAAGGAAAGAACAAAUGGAGGUAAUCAGUUUAGAGACAAUCAGCAGCCUCCUUGGAGGAGUGUGGGCCUCGUGAAAAGGUUGUACAUUCCUAACCCCAUCAUGAAGCAUGUUCAUGUGGAACAGAACAACCUUCCUGGUGUUCAAGACUGCAAUAUUGUGUAAUGAGAUACACUUUCAGUGACGAUCAAGGUCAGCUGUGACCAAUAGAGACCACGAUCCUAACAGAAAAUGAACCCCACUCAAUCAAGGGCUUACCAUUUUCAUUCUCAAAGGCAUUUCUUCUUAACACCACUUAUUUUGAAUAGAUAGCAUAAGUAGACUGUACAAAUUUCAAAAAGAACAAAGGAAGAUACAAUGAAAAGUCAGUGUCACUCUUGGUCAUCCUUAGAGGCAGCCACUACUAACAUUUCUCCAGUAUCUUUGCAAACAUGAAUGUAUAUAUUUUCUUUGUCCCUAUGCACAAUGAGUAGCAUACUUUAUACACUAUUCAGAACCUGG
rnacentral:lncRNA from 10 species